rnacentral:rRNA from 1 species
GACGAACGCUGGCGGCGUGCUUAACACAUGCAAGUCGUACGGUAAGGCCCUUUCGGGGGUACACGAGUGGCGAACGGGUGAGUAACACGUGAGUAACCUGCCCACAACUUUGGGAUAACGCUAGGAAACUGGUGCUAAUACUGGAUAUGUGCUCCUGCUGCAUGGUGGGGGUUGGAAAGCUCCGGCGGUUGUGGAUGGACUCGCGGCCUAUCAGCUUGUUGGUGGGGUAGUGCCUACCAAGGCGGCGACGGGUAGCCGGCCUGAGAGGGUGACCGGCCACAUUGGGACUGAGAUACGGCCCAGACUCCUACGGGAGGCAGCAGUGGGGAAUAUUGCACAAUGGGCGCAAGCCUGAUGCAGCAACGCCGCGUGCGGGAUGACGGCCUUCGGGUUGUAAACCGCUUUCAGCAGGGACGAAGCUUUUUGUGACGGUACCUGCAGAAGAAGCACCGGCUAACUACGUG